rnacentral:rRNA from 1 species
AUGAACGCUGGCGGCGUGCCUAAUACCUGCAAGUCGAGCGAACAGACGAGGAGCUUGCUCCUCUGACGUUAGCGGCGGACGGGUGAGUAACACGUGGAUAACCUACCUAUAAGACUGGGAUAACUUCGGGAAACCGGAGCUAAUACCGGAUAAUAUAUUUAACCGCAUGGUUCAAUAGUGAAAGACGGUUUUGCUGUCACUUAUAGAUGGAUCCGCGCCGCAUUAGCUAGUUGGUAAGGUAACGGCUUACCAAGGCAACGAUGCGUAGCCGACCUGAGAGGGUGAUCGGCCACACUGGAACUGAGACACGGUCCAGACUCCUACGGGAGGCAGCAGUAGGGAAUCUUCCGCAAUGGGCGGAAGCUUGACGGAGCAACGCCGCGUGAGUGAUGAAGGUCUUCGGAUCGUAAAACUCUGUUAUUAGGGAAGAACAAAUGUGUAAGUAACUAUGCACGUCUUGACGGUACCUAAUCAGAAAGCCACGGCUAACUACGUG